rnacentral:rRNA from 1 species
UACGUAGGUGGCAAGCGUUGUCCGGAUUUACUGGGCGUAAAGAGCGCGCAGGCGGUCGUUCAAGUCGCGUGUGAAAGCCCCCGGCUCAACUGGGGAGGGUCACGCGAUACUGAUCGACUCGAAGGCAGGAGAGGGAAGUGGAAUUCCCGGUGUAGUGGUGAAAUGCGUAGAUAUCGGGAGGAACACCAGUGGCGAAGGCGACUACCUGGCCUGUUCUUGACGCUGAGGCGCGAAAGCUAAGGGGAGCAAACGGGGG